rnacentral:rRNA from 1 species
GACGAACGCUGGCGGCGUGCUUAACACAUGCAAGUCGAACGGAAAGGCCCUGCUUGCCGGGUACUCGAGUGGCGAACGGGUGAGUAACACGUGGGUGAUCUGCCCUGCACUUCGGGAUAAGCCUGGGAAACUGGGUCUAAUACCGGAUAGGAGCCAUUUUUAGUGUGAUGGUUGGAAAGUUUUUUCGGUGUAGGAUGAGCUCGCGGCCUAUCAGCUUGUUGGUGGGGUAAUGGCCUACCAAGGCGGCGACGGGUAGCCGGCCUGAGAGGGUGGACGGCCACAUUGGGACUGAGAUACGGCCCAGACUCCUACGGGAGGCAGCAGUGGGGAAUAUUGCACAAGGGGCGCAAGCCUGAUGCAGCGACGCCGCGGGGGGGAUGACGGCCUUCGGGUUGUAAACGCCUUUCGCUAGGGACGAAGCUUUUUGUGACGGUACCUAGAUAAGAAGCACCGGCUAACUACGUG